rnacentral:lncRNA from 1 species
CACACUGCAUAUUUCCACUUGCCUACACGCCCAAGGUGAGUAAUUUUGGGGGAGAGGGGGUGGGAGUGGAAUGGCAUAUAAAAUGUCUUACGUUUUUCACUACUAAUUAUAAUCCUGGUCAAACUAAGCAAGUAGAUUUGGGCAUUAUGGGAGCUGCAAUACCAGUGGUGGAGCAUCCCCACAGCUCAGCUGCUUGGUGUGAAUGCUGGAAAGAGGAUUUGGCUUGAUGUACAUUACUGGCUCUUGCAGUUAAUUUAUUUAACCCAAGUGUCUUAGGGGUGCCUGCAAAUAUUUCCCAAGCUGCAUGUGUCUUAACUAAAAGGCAACUCACCUGACAGCUUUGCAUAGUUGCACCUUAGCAUUACUGCUCUAUCCAAUCCAUAAUACAUUCUGUUUACAAUAGUUAUCAGUUUGUUUGCUUUGAUUUUAGCUAAAAGAGCUGAAGAUUUAUCUCUCUGUCAGAGUUGGUAGAAAUCUAAGAGUCUGGUCCAAACCAUAAGCUUUCUGCUUAAUCUUCUGGAAACUUCCCAGUUUUCCUUGAAUAUCUCCAAGCAGCUGAUAUUGUACCUCCACUGCAUGGAGGGGGGAUUUUUUCUUUUUCUUGAUUAGUUCAGCUGACAAGGUCAACAGGAAAUUAAAAAGGAAGAAUAUACAUUCAGAACAACUAUGCUACCUUAUAUGCAGAGUUAUUAAGUGUUAUGUGUGUCUGAGCCACACUGUAAAGAUGAGCAGGAGCAAAGACCAAGAGAGUGAGUGGGGCACAUCAGAGGUGAGAACUAAGGAGCAGGGAAGGAGAAGGAGAAGGAGAAGGAGAAGUAAAGGAGAAGAUCAGUAGCCCAUUUUAGAGUCCUGUCUCUUUCUGGUUUCUCUGUACAGGGAAGG